GAAACACGGACCAAGGAGUCUAGCAUGUGCGCGAGUCAUUGGGAAUUAUUAAACCUAAAGGCGCAAUGAAAGUGAAGGUUCGUCUCGCGCGGACCAAGGGAAGAUGGGCGUGUCGCGAUUACCACGACCGCCCCGCACUCCCGGGGCGUCUCGUUCUCAUUGCGAGAAGAGGCGCACCAAGAGCGUACACGCUGGGACCCGAAAGAUGGUGAACUAUGCCUGGUCAGGACGAAGUCAGGGGAAACCCUGAUGGAGGUCCGUAGCGAUUCUGACGUGCAAAUCGAUCGUCGGAACUGGGUAUAGGGGCGAAAGACUAAUCGAACCAUCUAGUAGCUGGUUCCCUCCGAAGUUUCCCUCAGGAUAGCUGGCGCUCGUCGCCUACGAGUCUCAUCCGGUAAAGCGAAUGAUUAGAGGCAUUGGGGUCGAAACGGCCUCAACCUAUUCUCAAACUUUAAAUGGGUGAGAUCUCCGGCUUGCUCGAACUAUUGAAGCCGCGAGACACGGAUCAGAGUGCCAAGUGGGCCAUUUUUGGUAAGCAGAACUGGCGCUGUGGGAUGAACCAAACGCCGAGUUAAAGCGCCUAAAUCGACGCUUAUGGGAUACCAUGAAAGGCGUUGGUAACUUAAGACAGCAGGACGGUGGCCAUGGAAGUCGUAUCCG
rnacentral:rRNA from 1 species